rnacentral:rRNA from 1 species
UACGGAGGAUGCGGGCGUUAUCCGGAUUCAUUGGGUUUAAAGGGUGCGCAGGCGGGGCAUUAAGUCAGUGGUGAAAUAAGACGGCUCAACUGUCUGGCUGCCAUUGAUACUGAUGUUCUAGAGUGUAAUUGGAGUGGGCGGAAUGUGUCAUGUAGCGGUGAAAUGCUUAGAUAUGACACAGAACACCGAUCGCGAAGGCAGCUCACUAAGUUAAUACUGACGCUCAUGCACGAAAGCGUGGGGAUCAAACAGG